rnacentral:sRNA from 1 species
AGAGGGUUUUAUGUGGGGCAUAUCCAAUUCUGAUGAUUCCGGAGGUGGUUGCAAAAGAAUCGAGAAAGAACCGCUUCCAUCACAUCCGUCUCAUCCGUCGCCAGAGAUCCAGACUACGACGGUUAAAAAGGGAAAAAAGAGAACGAAAAGAAAUGAUAAAAACCAUGAAGAAGAAUCACCUGAUCAUGAAAUACAUAUAUGGACCGAAAGAGAAAGGAGAAAGAAGAUGAGGGACAUGUUUUCUAAAUUACAUGCUUUGCUUCCCC